AGGGCCGCUACCACGCGAGUGGAUGCCAAUCCCCAAAACCUCUCUCAGUUCGGACUGGAGUCUGCAACCCGACUCCACGAAGCUGGAUUCGCUAGUAAUCGCGCAUCAGCCACGGCGCGGUGAAUACGUUCCCGGGCCUUGUACACACCGCCGUCAAGCCAUGGAAGCCGGGAGUGCCUGAAGUGCGUGACCGCAAGGAGCGUCCUAAGGCAAUACCGGUGACUGGGGCUAAGUCGUAACAAGGUAGC
rnacentral:rRNA from 1 species